rnacentral:misc_RNA from 1 species
AAGAGUUAGGGUCCUAGUGGCCCAACCUCCAACCCUCUGUUGUUAAAACUACCUUGUUGCUUUGGCGGGACCGUUCGGUCUCCGAGCGCGUUAACCCUCGGGUUGGCGAGCGCCCGCCAGAGUCCAACCAAACUCUUGUAUUAAACCAGUCGUCUGAGUAUAAAAUUUUAAUUAAAUUA